rnacentral:misc_RNA from 1 species
AAGUCGUAACAAGGUUUCCGUAGGUGAACCUGCGGAAGGAUCAUUAACACGUAUCCACGUAUCAACCAACUGUGAACUUGUUCUCACCUCUCCCUCACACGACAUGAAUUGGAAGGAAGUCAGAGAUUUUAUGAUAGGAAUCACGUAUCACUACCUGAUUCAAUCUCUCUCUCCCUAUGGAUUACCGCCUUACCGCGGUCGAUCGACAAUUGUAGUCAGCGUGAGGCUUACCCUUCUGCUAUCGACUCGUACCAUCAUAUCGAUCGAUAGUGGGCACACUACACCUAUCUCACCCCUAUUUUGCUAGUUGACUUUAUUAUGUUAUCUCUGCCUGACUGGACUCUACGUCCUAUCAGACUGUGGAUACACGUUACUUAAUUGAACGUUAAAUUACAACUCUUAGCAAUGGAUAUCUUGGUUCUC